rnacentral:rRNA from 1 species
CCAGCUCCAAUAGCGUAUAUUUAAGUUGCUGCAGUUAAAAAGCUCGUAGUUGGAUUUCGGGUGGGGCCUGCCGGUCCGCCGUUUCGGUGUGCACUGGCAGGGCCCACCUUGUUGCCGGGGACGGGCUCCUGGGCUUCACUGUCCGGGACUCGGAGUCGGCGCUGUUACUUUGAGUAAAUUAGAGUGUUCAAAGCAGGCCUACGCUCUGAAUACAUUAGCAUGGAAUAACACGAUAGGACUCUGGCCUAUCCUGUUGGUCUGUAGGACCGGAGUAAUGAUUAAGAGGGACAGUCGGGGGCAUUCGUAUUUCAUUGUCAGAGGUGAAAUUCUUGGAUUUAUGAAAGACGAACUACUGCGAAAGCAUUUGCCAAGGAUGUUUUCA